CAGCCGCGGUAAUACGAAGGGACCUAGCGUAGUUCGGAAUUACUGGGCUUAAAGAGUUCGUAGGUGGUUAAAAAAGUUGGUGGUGAAAUCCCAGAGCUUAACUCUGGAACUGCCAUCAAAACUUUUUAGCUAGAGUAUGAUAGAGGAAAGCAGAACUUCUAGUGUAGAGGUGAAAUUCGUAGAUAUUAGAAAGAAUACCAAUUGCGAAGGCAGCUUUCUGGAUCAUUACUGACACUGAGGAACGAAAGCAUGGGUAGCGAAGAGGAUUAGAUACCCUCGUAGUCCAUGCCGUAAACGAUGUGUGUUAGAUGUUGGAAAUUUAUUUUCAGUAUCGCAGCGAAAGCAAUAAACACACCGCCUGGGGAGUACGACCGCAAGGUUAAAACUCAAAUGAAUUGACGGGGACCCGCACAAGUAGUGGAGCAUGUGGUUUAAUUCGAAGAUACGCGCAGAACCUUACCAACACUUGACAUGUUCGUUUCGACUCUAAGAGAUUAGAGUUUUCGGUUCGGCCGGACGAAACACAGGUGCUACAUGGCUGUCGUCAGCUCGUGUCGUGAGAUGUUGGGUUAAGUCCCGCAACGAGCGCAACCCUUACUUUUAGUUGCCAUCAUUUAGUUGGGCACUCUGAAAGAACUGCCAGUGAUAAGCUGGAGGAAGGUGGGGAUGACGUCAAGUCCUCAUGGCCCUUAUGUGUUGGGCUACACACGUGCUACAAUGGCAUUUACAAUAGGAAGCAAGAUGGUGACAUUAAGCAAAUCCUAAAAAAAUGCCUUAGUUCGGAUUGUACUCUGCAACUCGAGUACAUGAAGCUGGAAUUACUAGUAAUCGUGGAUCAGCGUGCCACGGUGAAUACGUUCCCGGGUCUUGUACACACCGCCCGUCACACCAUGGGAGUUGGUUCUACCUUAAGGCAAGGUUUA
rnacentral:rRNA from 1 species